rnacentral:rRNA from 1 species
UAACGCGUGGGUAACCUGCCUCAUACAGGGGGAUAACAGUUAGAAAUGACUGCUAAUACCGCAUAAGCGCACAGGACCGCAUGGUCCGGUGUGAAAAACUCCGGUGGUAUGAGAUGGACCCGCGUCUGAUUAGUUAGUUGGCGGGGUAGCGGCCCACCAAGACGACGAUCAGUAGCCGACCUGAGAGGGUGACCGGCCACAUUGGGACUGAGACACGGCCCAAACUCCUACGGGAGGCAGCAGUGGGGAAUAUUGCACAAUGGGGGAAACCCUGAUGCAGCGACGCCGCGUGAGUGAAGAAGUAUUUCGGUAUGUAAAGCUCUAUCAGCAGGGAAGAAGUUGACGGUACCUGAGUAAGAAGCCCCGGCUAACUACGUGCCAGCAGCCGCGGUAAUACGUAGGGGGCAAGCGUUAUCCGGAUUUACUGGGUGUAAAGGGAGCGUAGACGGCAGUGCAAGUCUGAAGUGAAAGCCCCGGGCUUAACCCGGGAACUGCUUUGGAAACUGUACGGCUGGAGUGCUGGAGAGGUAAGCGGAAUUCCUAGUGUAGCGGUGGAAUGCGUAGAUAUUAGGAGGAACACCAGUGGCGAAGGCGGCUUACUGGACAGUAACUGACGUUGAGGCUCGAAAGCGUGGGGAGCAAACAGGAUUAGAUACCCUGGUAGU